UCCCUGGUGGCUUAGAGGUUAAAGCAUCUGUCUGCAAUGCGGGAGACCCAGGUUUGAUCCCUGGAUUGGGAA
rnacentral:tRNA from 1 species